rnacentral:rRNA from 1 species
UACGUAGGGCGCAAGCGUUAUCCGGAAUUAUUGGGCGUAAAGAGCUCGUAGGCGGUUUUGUCGCGUCUGCCGUGAAAGUCCGGGGCUCAACUCCGGAUCUGCGGUGGGUACGGGCAGACUAGAGUGAUGUAGGGGGAGACUGGAAUUCCUGGUGUAGCGGUGAAAAUGCGCAGAUAUCAGGAGGAACACCGGUGGCGAAGGCGGUUCUCUGGGCAACAACUGACGCUGAGGAGCGAAAGCGUGGGGGAGCGAACAGG